GACGAACGCUUUCUUCUUUCUUAACACAUGCAAGUCGAACGGAAAGGCCCUGCUUUUGUGGGGUGCUCGAGUGGCGAACGGGUGAGUAACACGUGAGUAACCUGCCCUUGACUUUGGGAUAACUUCAGGAAACUGGGGCUAAUACCGGAUAGGAGCUCCUGCUGCAUGGUGGGGGUUGGAAAGUUUCGGCGGUUGGGGAUGGACUCGCGGCUUAUCAGCUUGUUGGUGGGGUAGUGGCUUACCAAGGCUUUGACGGUUAGCCGGCCUGAGAGGGUGACCGGCCACAUUGGGACUGAGAUACGGCCCAGACUCCUACGGGAGGCAGCAGUGGGGAAUAUUGCACAAUGGGCGGAAGCCUGAUGCAGCAACGCCGCGUGCGGGAUGACGGCAUUCGGGUUGUAAACCGCUUUCGCCUGUGACGAAGCGUGAGUGACGGUAAUGGGUAAAGAAGCAAAGGAUAACUACGGG
rnacentral:rRNA from 1 species